rnacentral:rRNA from 1 species
AGAGUUUGAUCAUGGCUCAGAGCGAACGCUGGCGGCGUGCCUAAUACAUGCAAGUCGAGCGGGACUCUUCGGAGUCUAGCGGCGGACGGGUGAGUAACACGUGGGCAACCUGCCUGUAAGACUGGGAUAACUUCGGGAAACCGGAGAUAAUACCAGAUAAUCCUUUUCCUCUCAUGAGGGAGAGCUGAAAGACGGUUUCG